rnacentral:rRNA from 1 species
UACGGGGGGGGCAAGCGUUGUUCGGAAUUACUGGGCGUAAAGGGUGCGUAGGCGGUUCGCUAAGUUGGAUGUGAAAACUCUGGGCUUAACCCAGAGCCUGCAUCCAAUACUGACGAGCUAGAGUUCUGGAAGGGGUAGCGGAAUUCCUGGUGUAGCGGUGAAAUGCGUAGAUAUCAGGAGGAACACCGGUGGCGAAGGCGGCUACCUGGACAGAGUCUGACGCUGAGGCACGAAAGCUAGGGGAGCAAACAGG